rnacentral:lncRNA from 1 species
GGAACUUCGCCGCUACGUGGGGUCUGGGGCUCCCAUUUCUGGUAUUGUCCUCGGUCACCUUGUACUGCGGGGUUCCCGAAAACUGGGAAACUUCAGUAUGUAUUUGACAAUGAGGGCUCUGGGAUCCUACAGACAUGGGUUCGAAUCGUAGCUUCUUCAAUUGCAAGUUCAGUGACCUCGAGCAAGUUGGAGACUUGGCCGGGC